CACGUAGGGCGCAAGCGUUGUCCGGAAUUAUUGGGCGUAAAGAGCUCGUAGGCGGUUUGUCGCGUCUGCUGUGAAAACCCGAGGCUCAACCUCGGGCCUGCAGUGGAUACGGGCAGGCUAGAGGUAGGUAGGGGAGAAUGGAAUUCCCGGUGUAGCGGUGAAAUGCGCAGAUAUCAAGUGGAACACCAGUGGCGAAGGCGAGUCUCUGGACAUUUCCUGACGCUGAGGCACGAAAGCCAGGGAGCAAACGGG
rnacentral:rRNA from 1 species